rnacentral:rRNA from 1 species
AUUGAACGCUGGCGGAAUGCUUUACACAUGCAAGUCGAGCGGCAGCGCGGGGCAACCUGGCGGCGAGCGGCGAACGGGUGAGUAAUGCAUCGGAACAUGUCCAUGUCGUGGGGGAUAGCCCGGCGAAAGCCGGAUUAAUACCGCAUACGCCCGAGAGGGGAAAGCAGGGGACCGCAAAGGCCUUGCGCGAUUGGUUGGCCGAUGUCCGAUUAGCUUGUUGGUGAGGUAAAGGCUUACCAAGGCGAUGAUCGGUAGCUGGUCUGAGAGGAUGAUCAGCCACACUGGGACUGAGACACGGCCCAGACUCCUACGGGAGGCAGCAGUGGGGAAUUUUGGACAAUGGGGGCAACCCUGAUCCAGCCAUUCCGCGUGAGUGAAGAA